UACGUAGGUGGCAAGCGUUAUCCAGAAUUAUUGGGCGUAAAGCGCGCGUAGGCGGCAUGAUAAGUCUGAUGUGAAAUCCCCCGGCUCAACCGGGGAGGGUCAUUGGAAACUGUCAUGCUUGAGCGCAGAAGAGGAGAGUGGAAUUCCAUGUGUAGCGGUGAAAUGCGCAGAGAUAUGGAGGAACACCAAUGGCGAAGGCGGCUCUCUGGUCUGUAACUGACGCUGAUGUGCGAAAGCGUGGGGAUCAAACAGG
rnacentral:rRNA from 1 species